rnacentral:rRNA from 1 species
UACGGAGGGGGCUAGCGUUGUUCGGAAUUACUGGGCGUAAAGCGCACGUAGGCGGAUAUUUAAGUCAGGGGUGAAAUCCCGGGGCUCAACCCCGGAAUUGCCUUUGAUACUGGGUAUCUGGAGGUCGAGAGAGGCGAGUGGAAUUCCGAGUGUAGAGGUGAAAUUCGUAGAUAUUCGGAGGAACACCAGUGGCGAAGGCGGCUCGCUGGCUCGAUACUGACGCUGAGGUGCGAAAGCGUGGGGAGCAAACAGG